rnacentral:rRNA from 1 species
CGUGUCCUACGGGGCGCAGCAGUGGGGAAUAUUGCACAAUGGGGGGAACCCUGAUGCAGCAAUGCCGCGUGAAGGAUGAAGGUUUUCGGAUUGUAAACUUCUUUUGUACGGGACGAAGAAAGUGACGGUACCGUAAGAAUAAGCCACGGCUAACUACGUGCCAGCAGCCGCGGUAAUACGUAGGUGGCAAGCGUUAUCCGGAUUUACUGGGUGUAAAGGGCGAGUAGGCGGGAUUGCAAGUCAGAUGUGAAAUCCUGUAGCUUAACUACAGAACUGCAUUUGAAACUAUGAGUCUAGAGUGUGGG